CUGAUCCCAUUCCGAACUCAGCAGUGAAACGCAGUAGCGCCGAUGGUAGUGUGGGAGUUCCCAUGUGAGAGUAGGACAUCGCUAGGC
rnacentral:rRNA from 1 species